GCUCUACUGGAAAAGGAACAAAAUGUGAUCCACCGUGAAGUUGAAAUGACUAAAGAUCAGGAAUUUAAGCAACUCUCGACUCAGCUAGAUGGUGCCAGGCUGUAUCUCUUUGAGAAGGUCAAUAAUAUCUCCCAAGAUAUAGCAAAAGUUGAUGUCCUCAUCAGGGCUGAGGAGCAUGCAGCAGAGCUGGCCAAACUGGCAAGAGAUUUUCAACUCAAUACAUCCUCUGGCCUGCUCAGUGUCAUAGUGGGAACUGGAGC